UACGGAGGGUGCAAGCGUUAUCCGGAUUCACUGGGUUUAAAGGGUGCGUAGGUGGAUCGGUAAGUCCGUGGUGAAAUCCCCGAGCUUAGCUCGGGAACUGCCGUGGAUACUAUCGAUCUUGAAUACUGUGGAGGUAAGCGGAAUAUGUCAUGUAGCGGUGAAAUGCUUAGAUAUGACAUAGAACACCGAUAGCGAAGGCAGCUUGCUACACAGUUAUUGACACUGAGGCACGAAAGCGUGGGGAGCAGACAGG
rnacentral:rRNA from 1 species